CCUGGCGGCCUUAGCGCGGUGGUCCCACCUGACCCCAUGCCGAACUCAGAAGUGAAACGCCGUAG
rnacentral:rRNA from 1 species